rnacentral:sRNA from 17 species
AGCUGAUGCAUUUCGUGGUUUCUCUCCCAGUUCCACCGCAUUAGCUGUUCCCCUCUGGAGGUUAUUGACCUUCACAAUUCAAAGGGCCCUGGUUUUCCGGUGGCCCUCUUUU